rnacentral:rRNA from 1 species
UACGAAGGGAGCUAGCGUUGUUCGGAAUCACUGGGCGUAAAGCGCACGUAGGCGGAUGUGUCAGUCAGGGGUGAAAUCCCGGAGCUCAACUUCGGAACUGCCUCUGAUACAGCACGUCUUGAGUCCGGAAGAGGUGGGUGGAAUUCCUAGUGUAGAGGUGAAAUUCGUAGAUAUUAGGAGGAACACCGGUGGCGAAGGCGGCCCACUGGUCCGGUACUGACGCUGAGGUGCGAAAGCGUGGGGAGCAAACAGG